rnacentral:piRNA from 1 species
UGCUAGGUGGGGGUCAUUCAAGUUGUCUUG